rnacentral:lncRNA from 1 species
CUCCUCAUUCCGACCAACUCUUGAUGAUAUCAGUGAGUUUAAUUUAAUCAUCCAGGAGGGGAUGUGAUGGUAGUUUUUCUAUGGUUUUAUUUUUCAUCUUCCUAAUGAUUAAUGAUGUUGAACACCUUUUCAUGGCUCACAGUGUAUUUUGUUUUCGUCGAUUAGAAUGUUCUAUAAAUGUCAAUUGGGGCGAUUUGCUUGAUCGUUUUUAACAUCUGUCUCAUAUAUGAGUCUGGUUCUGAUGAUUGCUUUGUCUCUUCAGGAUUCGUUGUUCCUCGCCCUUUUGUAUGCCUCAUAAUUUUUGAUGGGAAUCCUCAAAUGUUGUGUGUAGGACACUAGAUACUGAGGUAAAGAUUUUGUUUUGCUUGUAAAACUGAACUCCUUUCAUUCAGCUGUGAUGUGUGGGCCUCUGAUAAUCUGUCAGGAAUUGAGUUGGGUUCUAGGCCCCUUGUUGUCACGGUUACUCUCAUUGUACCACAGCCUUCAAAUUCCUCUGGCGAUAACUUGGCUUUGGGGUGUGGGUUAAUUUGCAGAGGUUUUUUUGUCUGUUCAUUCGUUUGUUUCCUCAGUUUCUGCUCCCUUCUUGGCUUUGGGUUUCCUUUUAGUGUCGUGGUCUGGAGAGAAUCUUUCUCUUGCAGUUCUCCCAGGUGUAUUCCAUUCUUAGGUUUACUCAGUGCUUGUUAGUCUGGGGCGGGGGGGGGGGGUGGUCUUUGAUGUUCUGAUUAAACUUCAGGCUUGGUAGGAACUGUGUCCCUGCAUCUCCACAGUGUAGACUACACAAGUGCCCUCUCGCAGCUGUAGUACUAAUCAAGGUUUGUUCUCUACAGGGAAGAUGGGGGAGACACUUCUCUGCAAAUUUCCACAGCAGCUGGUGUUUCCCUCCCCCACCACAAGGAAAGCUUCUUCCAGAUUUUCCUCAGUCUUCUCUGUGAGCACCUGAAAUAACUCCUGAAUAUGCCACCUGUGAGAUAUGAGAAGGCUACAGAGAAGAAAUCUUUUUACCCCAUUUCCAUCAGUUUGAUAUUAGCAUCAAAGCAAAGCUCUGCCCUGGAAACUGGAAGACAAUGAAGUGACAUUUACAGACUAUGAAGAAAAAAAAAUCUCUAUUUUUCAGUAAGAUAAAAUUUCAGAGGAAAAUGAAGAUAUUGUAGAAUAUACUAGAAUCCAAAGAUUUUAAAAUCUAUAUAUUCUCUCUGAUGAAGCUAUUUGAGAGAAGACUAACUAGAAAGCAAAUGUAUGACCCCAAGAACAUCAACAUACGACAAAGAGUCGAGGAAAAAUGACAGUGGUGAGCAGUAAUCUUGGAAUAGACAUAGAGUAUUACAUGCUUAAUGGUACUUAUACCUUAUACCACAAACAAUGCUCAAAAUUGCAUUGGCUUAGCCCAAUAAAAUAAAGCUUCAUUUCUUUUUCAUGUAAUGUGCUACCGUGAGUGUUAGACAGAUGGCUUUCUACACAGGGGUUCAGACUCUUUACAAUCUAUGUCACAACCAAACCCUAGAGCCUGGGUAGGUUCAUUCCAGCUAAUGAUUGAUGAAAGAUUAUGUGGAGAAGACAUGUACACUUCUUAAAUGUCUCAUACUAAAAAUGAUGCAUCACUCAUGCUCACAUCCUUUUACAAAGAAUUAGUCGCAUGGACUUAUCAAGAUGCCGCAGUCCCUGAAAAGUGCAGUACCUGGUUUACUAGAUACAUCUAAGUGACACCGUUACCCUUUCCCAGUCUCUGUUGAAAUUGGGUGUGUCCAUGUGACUGAGUCUAUCCAAUGGAAUAUGAGUGGAAGAAAGUUGUACCAUCUCCAUGCAUGGGCCAUGAGUUCUCUCAUGUUUGAUUCUCCGUGCUCUUUUCCUUCUACACCUUGAUGCAUAUAAGCUUGGAGAACUUGGAAGCCAUGCUUGAAGACACUGUAACCACAGGAUUGAAGGAGCCUGGAUCCUUGUAAUUAUUUAUAUCAGUGGUUCUCUACUGGGAUUGAUGUUGCCCCUUAGAGGACAUUUGGCAAAGACUGGGAAUAAUUUUGGUCAUCAUAACUAGGAAGGUGCUAUUGGCAUUUAGUUGGUAGAGGCCACAGAUGCUGUAAUACAUCCUAUAGGGACAAAAAAGAAUUAUCUAGGCCAAAAAUAUUAAGAAUGCCAGAGUUGAGAAUCUCCAACUUAUG